UGUUCCUUCAAAUACAACAUAAAAAGUCAUUUUUUUUCCUUUAACCAAACUCAAAAACAAAGGAUGUAUUGAAGGGAAUGGUGUAGGUUAUGUUAAUAUAUAUACACGAAUGAAAUGACAUAGGUUGGUCUUGGUUGUUGCAUUAAUUAAUAGAUAAUUAAGUUGGAUCUGACUAAACGGUUGGUGAAAAUUUUAAUUAAAUGUACCCCAUCAUUUUACAAAAUUAAAAUCUUAAAAUAUAUUAAAA
rnacentral:lncRNA from 1 species